ACAGUUGAGCGGCUAGCAGCGGAGAUCACGGCGCAAUCUCGCACCCGCUACGCUCUGCACGACAGGGUACAGCGACGUAUCCUCGCGGAUCUAGCCACUCCGGGUAAGAAGCUCAAUCAGAAGCUAACAGCAUGGUGGAACCUGGACUUCCCGGCGUUCCGGGCUGAGGUCAAGAAGGCCUUUAAGCGAGACAUUCCGUUGAGUGA
rnacentral:misc_RNA from 1 species